rnacentral:snoRNA from 1 species
CCUGCCUUUAUGGGUGGGUAUAGCAAUAAGUCUUCUGUGACAUAUGUGUGUCAACAAGUGGCAGAGAGGAGGCGGACUAUAGUCUACCUAUGAACAUCUGAAUGAUUAGUAGACUAAUAUU